rnacentral:piRNA from 1 species
UGCUGGUCUCAAGUUUUGAGAUUUCCAGGGU